CCUGCCACUAUGCCUGUCUAUACAAGUGGUUGGUUAUAUUCCAGUGGGGGCGCAGAGAGACCCAGCUCUAGGAAGCAGAGCUGCCCAGACACAGUGGGCAACUCUGUGCCGAAAGGCCUGGAACAAGC
ensembl:snoRNA SNORA65 small nucleolar RNA SNORA65